UACGUAGGGGGCAAGCGUUGUCCGGAUUUAUUGGGCGUAAAGCGCGUGUAGGCGGCUUGGCAAGUCCGCUGUGAAAACUCGAGGCUCAACCUCGAGAUGUCGGUGGAAACUGCUUGGCUAGAGUCCGGAAGAGGAGUGUGGAAUUCCGUGGUAGUAGCGGUGAAAUGCGCAGAUAUCAGGAAGAACACCUAUGGCGAAGGCGGAUCUCUGGGCCUUACCUGACGCUGAGGCGCGAAAGCUAGGGGAGCGAACAGG
rnacentral:rRNA from 1 species